AACGAACGCUGGCGGCAGGCCUAACACAUGCAAGUCGAGCGAGGACUUCGGUUCUAGCGGCGGACGGGUGAGUAACGCGUGGGAAUGUGCCCUUCUCUACGGAAUAGCCCUGGGAAACUGGGAGUAAUACCGUAUACGCCCUUUUGGGGAAAGAUUUAUCGGAGAAGGAUCAGCCCGCGUUGGAUUAGGUAGUUGGUUGGGUAAUGGCCUACCAAGCCGACGAUCCAUAGCUGGUUUGAGAGGAUGAUCAGCCACACUGGGACUGAGACACGGCCCAGACUCCUACGGGAGGCAGCAGUGGGGAAUCUUAGAAAAUGGGGGCAACGCUGAUCUAGCCAUGCCGCGUGAGUGAUGAAGGCCUUAGGGUUGUAAAGCUCUUUCAGCUGGGAAGAUAAUGACGGUACCAGCAGAAGAAGCCCCGGCUAACUCCGUG
rnacentral:rRNA from 1 species